AUUGAACGCUGGCGGCAUGCUUUACACAUGCAAGUCGAACGGUAACAGGCCGCAAGGUGCUGACGAGUGGCGAACGGGUGAGUAAUGCAUCGGAACGUGCCCAGUCGUGGGGGAUAACGCAGCGAAAGCUGCGCUAAUACCGCAUACGAUCUAUGGAUGAAAGCGGGGGACCGUAAGGCCUCGCGCGAUUGGAGCGGCCGAUGUCAGAUUAGGUAGUUGGUGGGGUAAAGGCUCACCAAGCCAACGAUCUGUAGCUGGUCUGAGAGGACGACCAGCCACACGGGGACGGAGACACGGCCCAGACUCCUACGGGAGGCAGCAGUGGGGAAUUUUGGACAAUGGGCGCAAGCCUGAUCCAGCAAUGCCGCGUGCAGGAAGAAGGCCUUCGGGUUGUAAACUGCUUUUGUACGGAGCGAAACGGCUCUCACUAAUACUGGGGGCUAAUGACGGUACCGUAAGAAUAAGCACCGGCUAACUACGUGCCAGCCGCCGCCGUAAGAC
rnacentral:rRNA from 1 species